CCCAGAUGAGACGCUGCGGAGCGGUGAGCUACUCAACAUGAUCGUAGAUGUCAGACUCCACACAGUUUAGUCUCUGGUCUGGGAGACCUUGAGUAGUACAGCACCUGGCAGCUCUUCCUGGCUACUGGCACCCCCCUAGAGACCUUCAUCCCCAUCCUGCAGCACCUUAAAUAUAAAGAACACCUGGAUGCCUUGUCGUGUCUGCUGCUUCUCCGCAGAGUACGACAGGCCCAGUGAAGAGAUGGUGAAGAUGGUCCUGAGUCGUCCCCGUCACCCCCGAGGACCAGUUCACAACCAACAUCCUGAGACACUGGGCGUCCAAUGACAACGCGCUGGGAGAAUACAUCAAGGCCCAGCUGAUCAAGAACAACCAGCCCCGUGAGAGAGUCUUCACAGUUCCAGCAGUAAACUGGCUCAGCUCACCCUGGAACAGAUCCUGGAGCUCAUGGACAACCUGAGCCUAAGCAACACCCAGAAAAGCUACCUCUGCAGCACGUUCAGGCCAGCUGUGACGAGGUGUACAAAGACUUCCAGACCAACCCUCCCAAGUCCUGCUGUAAGGCUCAUCCCUCCUCGCUUCCGCUCAACGAGGAGGAGACCGCCUCCUGCAGUCCCUCACAGGGUGAUUCCGGGCGAGGGCCGAGUCUGUCCCUCCAUAUCUACCACACGACUCUUCAACUCCUUCAGCUGGGAGGGGAUGAUGAAAAAUUGAAGGGCUCGGUCCAGCAGCCUCUUUUGCUCCUCCAAGUCACUCUUGCCCCUCCUCAGAGCUUCCCUCUCCAGAUCUCUCUCCUCUAGCCGCCGAGUCAGCUCGUCCCUCUCCUUGCAUAGGCGGGUGGUUCCUCUCUUGGCCUCCUCCAGUUGAGACUUCAGGGAGCGGUUUUCAUCUUCCAGAGCUUCCAACGCCUCCUCGGCCUCCGAGUUCCGUGGCACACUGGAGUGAAGCCUUGUCUGGAGAAUGAGAAAAUAUCCACUGAUGAACAUGGGCCUACAGCGUGUGGCUUCAUUUGCAUUUUUUCACCAUCAUGCUAUCCCAGAUGACGCUUCACCUCCUUCGCCUUCUCGAGCGCCUUUUCCAGCUCGGCUUUGUCUUUCUGUGACUGCUCCUUCAACCUGCUGAUCUCAGACAGAAGCUCAGCC